AGGGCUAUAGCUCAGCGGUAGAGCACCUCGUUUGGUAACUCAGAAUAUCUACGGUUCGAACCCGUAUAGUCCUA
rnacentral:tRNA from 1 species